AGCGAACGCUGGCGGCAGGCCUAACACAUGCAAGUCGAACGAACUCUUCGGAGUUAGUGGCGGACGGGUGAGUAACACGUGGGAACGUGCCUUUAGGUUCGGAAUAACUCAGGGAAACUUGUGCUAAUCCCGAAUGUGCCCUUCGGGGGAAAGAUUUAUCGCCUUUAGAGCGGCCCGCGUCUGAUUAGCUAGUUGGUGAGGUAAAGGCUCACCAAGGCGACGAUCAGUAGCUGGUCUGAGAGGAUGAUCAGCCACAUUGGGACUGAGACACGGCCCAAACUCCUACGGGAGGCAGCAGUGGGGAAUCUUGCGCAAUGGGCGAAAGCCUGACGCAGCCAUGCCGCGUGAAUGAUGAAGGUCUUAGGAUUGUAAAAUUCUUUCACCGGGGACGAUAAUGACGGUACCCGGAGAAGAAGCCCCGGCUAACUUCGUG
rnacentral:rRNA from 1 species